GGGGUCUGCUCAGGGCAAGGGGCCUGAAAAAUGGCUCCUAUGUUUAUAACACACCCAGUAGGAAUCUGGGGUCAUGCGAUGAGGGGGCACACAACUCAUAUGGGGUCUCCCUAUGAACCAAUUCCCUACAUCU